rnacentral:rRNA from 1 species
AGUGAACGCUGGCGGCGUGCUUAACACAUGCAAGUCGAACGAGAACGGAUUAUAGCUUGCUAUAAUUGUCAGCUAAGUGGCGCACGGGUGAGUAAUGUAUAGGUAAUAUGCCUCUUACUAAGGGAUAACAAAUGGAAACGUUUGCUAAUACCUUAUACUCCUUAUUAACAUAAGUUAAUAAGGGAAAGAUUUAUUGGUAAGAGAUUAGCCUGUAUUGUAUCAGUUAGUUGGUGGGGUAAUGGCUUACCAAGACUAUGACACAUAACUGGUUUGAGAGGAUGAUCAUUAACAUUGGAAAUGAAACACGGUCCAGACUCCUACGGGAGGCAGCAGGGGGGAAUAUUGCACAAUGGACGAAAGUCUGAUGCAGCAACGCCGCGUGGAGGAUGACACAUUUCGGUGCGUAAACCCCUUUUAUAUGAGAAGAUAAUGCCGGUAUUAUAUGAAUAAGCACCGGCUAACUCCGUCCCAGCCGCCGCUGUAA